rnacentral:rRNA from 1 species
AGACCCGAAACCCGGUGAUCUAGCCAUGGGCAGGUUGAAGGUUGGGUAACACUAACUGGAGGACCGAACCGACUAAUGUUGAAAAAUUAGCGGAUGACCUGUGGCUGGGGGUGAAAGGCCAAUCAAACCGGGAGAUAGCUGGUUCUCCCCGAAAGCUAUUUAGGUAGCGCCUCGUGAAUUCAUCUCCGGGGGUAGAGCACUGUUUCGGCUAGGGGGCCAUCCCGGCUUACCAACCCGAUGCAAACUGCGAAUACCGGAGAAUGUUAUCACGGGAGACACACGGCGGGUGCUAACGUCCGUCGUGAAGAGGGAAACAACCCAGACCGCCAGCUAAGGUCCCAAAGUCAUGGUUAAGUGGGAAACGAUGUGGGAAGGCCCAGACAGCCAGGAUGUUGGCUUAGAAGCAGCCAUCAUUUAAAGAAAGCGUAAUAGCUCACUGGUCGAGUCGGCCUGCGCGGAAGAUGUAACGGGGCUAAACCAUGCACCGAAGCUGCGGCAGCGACACUCAGGUGUUGUUGGGUAGGGGAGCGUUCUGUAAGCCUGUGAAGGUGGCCUGUGAGGGUUGCUGGAGGUAUCAGAAGUGCGAAUGCUGACAUAAGUAACGAUAAAGCGGGUGAAAAGCCCGCUCGCCGGAAGACCAAGGGUUCCUGUCCAACGUUAAUCGGGGCA